rnacentral:rRNA from 1 species
GACGUAGGGGACGAGCGUUGUCCGGAUUUAUUGGGCGUAAAGCGCGCGUAGGCGGCCUGGUAAGUCGGAUGUGAAAACCCGGGGCUCAACCCCGGGCCUGCAUCCGAAACUGCCCGGCUAGAGGUAGGUAGGGGAGAUCGGAAUUCCUGGUGUAGCGGUGAAAUGCGCAGAUAUCAGGAGGAACACCGGUGGCGAAGGCGGAUCUCUGGGCCUUACCUGACGCUCAGGCGCGAAAGCUAGGGGAGCGAACAGG